ensembl:processed_transcript Dancr differentiation antagonizing non-protein coding RNA
UCUCCCGGAUGGCUGUAUUAACGCAGCGCGCAGCGGCUCGGUCUUUCGGUCCCGGCCUUGGUGGCCGAUCCACCCGAGCCGGUCCCCACUGCCCAGCCGUGCUGCUGCCUCGGACACAAGCGCAGGUUGAAAACUACAAGAAACCCGUGACUGAAUGGCUCCAAGGUGAAGUACUCUUGCAUGUAGUGACCAGGUUUGCCUGUAUUCCACUUUAGGAUUAGUAUCGAAGCUGAAAUAGGUGAAGUGAGGGCCAUGUGAGUUUCCUUGAAUGGCCUUGUAACUGAUUACCCUGAAGGUAGUUUGCUAAAGAUUUUAAUCAAUGUACUAGGAUCCUGCCCCACCCCUUCUUCAUGUCCCACUGCCCUAGAAUCAGAUCUGCAUGGCUAUGACAUGCUCGCCGUUUUAAAGAUGCAAAGAUUUCAUGCUAGAUCAUUAGAAUGUAUCUGGACUUCGUUAGGACAAGUUCUUUGCUAGUAACCAGUCACGUGCUAGCAAUUGAGGUGUGUUAACCUGUAUAUUGUUGCCUAUGAGUAAUUUUCCAUAAUCUUUAAUAAAGGCUUCCUGUGUCAAUUCUA